rnacentral:rRNA from 1 species
UCCGGGGGGGGCAAGCGUUGUUCGGAAUUACUGGGCGUAAAGGGCUCGUAGGUGGCCAACUAAGUCAGACGUGAAAUCCCUCGGCUUAACCGGGGAACUGCGUCUGAUACUGGAUGGCUUGAGUUUGGGAGAGGGAUGCGGAAUUCCAGGUGUAGCGGUGAAAUGCGUAGAUAUCUGGAGGAACACCGGUGGCGAAGGCGGCAUCCUGGACCAACACUGACACUGAGGAGCGAAAGCCAGGGGAGCAAACGGG